GACGAACCGUCCGAACGUUAUUCGGAAUCACUGGGCUUAAAGGGUGCAUAGGCGGCGCGGAAAGUUGGGUGUGAAAUCCCUCGGCUCAACCGAGGAACUGCGCCCAAAACUACCGUGCUCGAGGGAGAUAGAGGUGAGCGGAACUUAGGGUGGAGCGGUGAAAUGCGUUGAUAUCCUAAGGAACACCGGUGGCGAAAGCGGCUCACUGGAUCUCUUCUGACGCUGAGGCACGAAAGCUAGGGUAGCGAACGGG
rnacentral:rRNA from 1 species